CGUUUUUUCGUAUGGGAUAAUAGGGAAUCCGGUGGGAGUCCGGAACUGUGCCCGCAGCUGUGUGGUCCGUUGAUGGCCGGCUAUUUACGCCAUUGUCCUUCGGGAUGAGAAGGCAGCCUGGUCUGGACAAGUCAGAAGACCUGCCGAUAUUAA
rnacentral:ncRNA from 1 species